rnacentral:rRNA from 1 species
UGUUUGUUGUAAGGGCACACGGUGGAUGCCUUGGUAUGCUGAGCCGAUGAAGGACGUGCAAGGCUGCGUUAAGCCUCGGGGAGUUGUCAAUGGAGCGUUGAUCCGAGGAUGUCCGAAUGGGGAAACCCGGCUACUGUUAUUGGUGGUCACCCUUCCAUGAAUUCAUAGUGGUUGUGGGGGUUACGUAGGGAAGUGAAACAUCUCAGUACCUACAGGAGAAGAAAAUAAUAUAUGAUUCCGUGUGUAGUGGCGAGCGAUAGCGGAUGAUGGCUAAACUUUAUGCGUGUGAUACCUGGCAGGGGUUGCGUGUAGGGGGUUGUGGGAGAUAAUUGUUGUGGGUUCUGCCAGACCCACCCGCAUGUCAUAUGACGCAAGUGGAACUGGUUUGGGAUGGCCGACCGUAGUAGGUGAGAGUCCUGUACAUGAAUGUGUUGUGUGGUGUGGUGAUUGUGUUCCCGAGUAGCAGCGGGUUCGUGGAGUCUGCUGUGAAUCUGCCGGGACCACCCGGUAAGCCUGAAUACUCAGUGUGACCGAUAGCGGAUAGUACCGUGAGGGAAUGGUGAAAAGUACCCCGGGAGGGGAGUGAAAUAGUACCUGAAACCGUGUGCUUACAAUCCGUCAGAGCCCCGUAUGUGGGUGAUGGCGUGCCUUUUGAAGAAUGAGCCUGCGAGUCAGCGGCAUGUCGCGAGGUUAACCCGUUGUGGGGUAGUCGUAGCGAAAGCGAAUCCUAAUUAAGGGUGUUGUGUAGUGGCAUGUCCUGGACCCGAAGCGGAGUGAUCUACCCAUGGCCAGUGUGAAGCAAUUGUAAGAGGUUGUGGAGGCGCGAACCCACUUAGGUUGAAAACUGAGGGGAUGAGUUGUGGGUAGGGGUGAAAGGCUAAUCAAACUCCGUGAUAGCUGGUUCUCCCCGAAAUGCAUUUAGGUGCAGCGUCACAUGUUAGCUUGCCGGAGGUAGAGCUACUGGUUGGUUGAGCGGGACUAUCAUCUUAGCAAUGUCAGCCAAACUCCGAAUGCCGGUGAAGUGUUGUGUGGCAGUGAGACUGCGGGGGAUAAGCUCCGUCGAGUCGAGAGGGAAACAGCCCAGAUCGUUGGUUAAGGCCCCUAAGGGUGUGCUAAGUGGAAAAGGAUGUGGGAUCGCGAAGACAGCCAGGAGGUUGGCUUAGAAGCAGCCAUCCUUGAAAGAGUGCGUAAUAGCUCACUGGUCGAGUGGUUCUGCGCCGACAAUGUAGUGGGGCUGAAGCAUACCGCCGAAACCGCGGCAUAAUUUUUUGAUUAUGGGUAGGGGAGCGUCGUGCAUGGGGUGAAGCCAUACUGUAAGGAGUGGUGGACUGUGUGCGAGUGAGAAUGCAGGCAUGAGUAACGAUUAACAUGUGAGAAUCAUGUUCGCCGGAUGACUAAGGGUUCCUGGGUCAAGUUCGUCUUCCCAGGGUGAGUCGGGGCCUAAGGCGAGGCCGACAGGCGUAGUCGAUGGUUAACGGGUUGAUAUUCCCGUACCCGAUAAUGUGCGCCCAGUGACGAGGCUGAUGAUACUAACCUCCCACAUGCUGUCAGCGCAUACUUUGUGUGUGUUGGUGGUGUGUGGUUGGGACCUGAGUUGGUAGUAGUCAAGUGAUGGGGUGACGCAGUGAGGUAGUCACGCCCCCGGUUGGUGUGGGGUGUAAGCGUGUGGCCCGCAGGGUAGGUAAAUCCGUCCUGUAUUGUGGGUGAGGCGUGAUGCGUAGACCAUUUUUUGGUUGAUGGUGAUGAUCCUGUACUGUCGAGAAAAGCCUCUAGCGAGUGCAUUAUCGGCCCGUACCCUAAACCGACACAGGUGGUCAGGUAGAGAAUACUAAGGCGUUCGGGUGAACUGUGGUUAAGGAAUUCGGCAAAAUGCCCCCGUAACUUCGGGAGAAGGGGGACCACUGCUGGUGGAAUGGUCUUGCACUGUUUUUGCUGGUGGUGGUCGCAGAGGAUAGAGGGAAGCGACUGUUUACUAAAAACACAGGUCCGUGCGAAGACGGUUAAGUUGAUGUAUACGGACUGACGCCUGCCCGGUGCUGGAAGGUUAAGAGGACCUGUUAGAUCACUUUGUGGUCGAAGCGGAGAAUUUAAGCCCCAGUAAACGGCGGUGGUAACUAUAACCAUCCUAAGGUAGCGAAAUUCCUUGUCGGGUAAGUUCCGACCUGCACGAAUGGCGUAACGACUUCCCUGCUGUCUCAACCACAGGCCCGGUGAAAUUGCAGUACGAGUAAAGAUGCUCGUUACGCGCGGCAGGACGAAAAGACCCCGGGACCUUCACUAUAGCUUGGUAUUGGUGUUUGGUUCGGUUUGUGUAGGAUAGGUGGGAGACGUUGAUGCAGCAUCGCUAGGUGUUGUGGAGUCGUUGGUGAAAUACCACUCUGAUCGGACUGGGCAUCUAACCUUGGCCCAUGAUCUGGGUUGGGGACAGUGCCUGGUGGGUAGUUUAACUGGGGCGGUUGCCUCCUAAAUGGUAACGGAGGCGCCCAAAGGUUCCCUCAGCUUGGUUGGUAAUCAGGUGUUGAGUGUAAGUGUAUAAGGGAGCUUGACUGUGAGAGUGACGGCUCGAGCAGGGACGAAAGUCGGGACUAGUGAUCCGGCACCUACUUGUGGAUGUGGUGUCGCUCAACGGAUAAAAGGUACCCCGGGGAUAACAGGCUGAUCUUCCCCAAGAGUCCAUAUCGACGGGAUGGUUUGGCACCUCGAUGUCGGCUCGUCGCAUCCUGGGGCUGGAGUAGGUCCCAAGGGUUGGGCUGUUCGCCCAUUAAAGCGGCACGCGAGCUGGGUUUAGAACGUCGUGAGACAGUUCGGUCUCUAUCCGCCGCGCGCGUAGAAACUUGUGGAAGGCUGACCCUAGUACGAGAGGACCGGGUUGGACGUACCUCUGGUGUGCCAGUUGUUCCGCCAGGAGCAGGGCUGGUUGGCUACGUACGGGAGGGAUAACCGCUGAAAGCAUCUAAGCGGGAAGCCUGUUUCGAGAUGAGGUUUCUUUUGAGGUUCCCUAGAGAUGAUGGGGUUGAUAGGCCAGGGCUGGAAGGCAUGUAAGUGUUGGAGGUGACUGGUACUAAUUGGCCGAACGUAACACACAA